rnacentral:rRNA from 1 species
ACGAACGCUGGCGGCGUGCCUAAUACAUGCAAGUCGAACGGCUUUUCUAUGGAAGCUUGCUUCCACUGAGAAGAUAGUGGCGAACGGGUGAGUAACACGUGGGUAACCUGCCCAUAAGAGGGGGGAUAACAUCCGGAAACGGGUGCUAAUACCGCAUAGUUUUCUUGAUCGCAUGAUUGAGAAAGGAAAGACGGCCUUUGUGCUGUCGCUUAUGGAUGGACCCGCGGCGUAUUAGUUAGUUGGUGAGGUAACGGCUCACCAAGACGAUGAUACGUAGCCGACCUGAGAGGGUGAUCGGCCACAUUGGGACUGAGACACGGCCCAAACUCCUACGGGAGGCAGCAGUAGGGAAUCUUCCGCAAUGGACGAAAGUCUGGCGGAGCAACGCCGCGUGAGUGAAGAAAAGGUUUUCGGAUCGUAAAACUCUGUUGUCAGAGAAGAACAAGUUGGAGAGUAACUGCUCCAGCCUUGACGGUAUCUGACCAGAAAGCCACGGCUAACUACGUGCCAGCAGCGGC